GUUGCCAUCCUCACAGGGUAACCUGCAUACCAAUAGGAUCUCCAAAAUGCCAUGAAGCAAAAGGAAGCAUGAUGCAUCUCCCCAACACCUAUUCAGAGAUACCUGCUUGUCCCAGAUUUGUAAUUCAUCAUUCAAAUGAAAGAGUUUACCUCCUACUUCAAUGCAAACUUCUGAGGUAGACCUGACUGCCAACAGCCGAAGAGGGAGAAGAGUUUGGGAUUGGAUCUCGAUUAUGGUUAUACAGCAUCAAUGGUGUCAGGCUCAAGGGAGGCAUUCGGCAGUCUGUAUCUGCUGUGCAAACCACUGAAAGCCUCCAUUUGACAGCUUUUCAAAAUAGCUACGCUUGGCACCACUUCUUUGGGCACAAUAUGUCCUCGAUAAUUUAUUUAGUUUAUAUAUUCAGCUGUGUACUAAUUAACUCUUUGCCUUUUGGAGUUCUGGUUUUCUGUUUAACGCAUUUAACAUUGUGGCAUUGCAGUCCCAGGGGAAAAAUUCUUCUGGCAUUUACCUGGGUUGAAUUUAGAGCAAUUUGAAGGGUUUCAGUGGAUUUACGCUGCCUUUUGAGAGCAGAAUUUGAUCCUCUCAGUGGAAUUAACAAACAGCUAUAAUUACCUCCAUUAAAAAAAAAGUGCAAACAGAUUUUACCUUCCUUUCUCACCAUUUGUUUUUUAUGUGCCAAAGGACACUUAGCAGAGGACAGCGCAAAGCUUUUCGAGGAGGCUCACUCAAGCCAGUAAAGUCAGCAGCGAGAAAGAACCUAGAUUUUGAAUUGGGCCCCCAUUAAAAUUGCUCAAAGGGCAGCGACUUUCAAGAUUUUAAUUUUUAAAUUUUGGUCUGGAGCAGUGGGAUUAACUGAAUGCAGUUUGUUCUGAGCAAAGGGUCAAUGUGAAGAAAAUCAGAGCUAAGGCUUGCGUUGUUUUGCAGGCCCCAUGCUUAUUGAAUUAGUAGUUAACGUUUGCAGGAAUUUUCAGUUUAGGGGUGUGGAAAACCCUGUCACUAUUAGAAGUUAGUGUUCAAAAGCGAUUUGUAGCAAGUUAGAUAGAUAGAGCAGCACACAGGAUA